GACGAACGCUGGCGGCGUGCUUAACACAUGCAAGUCGAACGGAAAGGCCCUGCUUUUGUGGGGUGCUCGAGUGGCGAACGGGUGAGUAACACGUGAGUAACCUGCCCUUGACUUUGGGAUAACUUCAGGAAACUGGGGCUAAUACCGGAUAGGAGCUCCUGCUGCAUGGUGGGGGUUGGAAAGUUUCGGCGGUUGGGGAUGGACUCGCGGCUUAUCAGCUUGUUGGUGGGGUAGUGGCUUACCAAGGCUUUGACGGGUAGCCGGCCUGAGAGGGUGACCGGCCACAUUGGGACUGAGAUACGGCCCAGACUCCUACGGGAGGCAGCAGUGGGGAAUAUUGCACAAUGGGCGGAAGCCUGAUGCAGCAACGCCGCGUGCGGGAUGACGGCCUUCGGGUUGUAAACCGCUUUCGCCUGUGACGAAGCGUGAGUGACGGUAAUGGGUAAAGAAGCACCGGCUAACUACGUGCCAGCAGCCGCGGUGAUACGUAGGGUGCGAGCGUUGUCCGGAUUUAUUGGGCGUAAGGGGCUCGUAGGUGGUUGAUCGCGUCGGAAGUGUAAUCUUGGGGCUUAACCCUGAGCGUGCUUUCGAUACGGGUUGACUUGAGGAAGGUAGGGGAGAAUGGAAUUCCUGGUGGAGCGGUGGAAUGCGCAGAUAUCAGGAGGAACGCCAGUGGCGAAGGCGGUUCUCUGGGCCUUUCCUGACGCUGAGGAGCGAAAGCGUGGGGAGCGAACAGGCUUAGAUACCCUGGUAGUCCACGCUGUAAACGGUGGGUACUAGGUGUGGGGUCCAUUCCACGGGUUCCGUGCCGUAGCUAACGCUUUAAGUACCCCGCCUGGGGAGUACGGCCGCAAGGCUAAAACUCAAAGGAAUUGACGGGGCCCCGCACAAGCGGCGGAGCAUGCGGAUUAAUUCGAUGCAACGCGUAGAACCUUACCUGGGUUUGACAUGGAUCGGGAGUGCUCAGAGAUGGGUGUGCCUCUUUUGGGGUCGGUUCACAGGUGGUGCAUGCCUGUCGUCAGCUCGUGUCGUGAGAUGUUGUGUUAAGUCCCGCAACGAGCGCAACCCUUGUUCACUGUUGCCAGCACGUUAUGGUGGGGACUCAGUGGAGACCGCCGGGGUCAACUCGGAGGAAGGUGGGGGUGACGUCAAGUCCUCAUGCCCCUUAUGUCCAGGGCUUCACGCAUGCUACAAUGGCUGGUACAGAGAGUGGCGAGCCUGUGAGGGUGAGCGAAUCUCGGAAAGCCGGUCUCAGUUCGGAUUGGGGUCUGCAACUCGACCUCAUGAAGUCGGAGUCGCUAGUAAUCGCAGAUCAGCAACGCUGCGGUGAAUACGUUCCCGGG
rnacentral:rRNA from 1 species